rnacentral:rRNA from 1 species
GAUGAACGCUGGCGGCGUGCCUAAUACAUGCAAGUCGGGCGAACGGACGAGAAGCUUGCUUCUCUGAUGUUAGCGGCGGACGGGUGAGUAACACGUGGAUAACCUACCUAUAAGACUGGGAUAACUUCGGGAAACCGGAGCUAAUACCGGAUAAUAUUUUGAACCGCAUGGUUCAAAAGUGAAAGACGGUCUUGCUGUCACUUAUAGAUGGAUCCGCGCUGCAUUAGCUAGUUGGUAAGGUAACGGCUUACCAAGGCAACGAUGCAUAGCCGACCUGAGAGGGGUAUCGGCCACACCAGAACCGAGACCAGGUCCAACAGCCUCAGGGAGGCAACAGUAGGGAAUCUUUCGCAAUUGGCGAAAGCCUGGCAGAACAACGCCGCGUGAAUGAUUAAGGGCCUCGGAUUCUAAAACUCUUUUAUUAGGGAAGAACAUAUGUGUAAGUAACUGUGCACAUCUUGACGGUACCUAAUCAGAAAGCCACGGCUAACUACGUG